UACGAAGGGGCUAGCGUUGCUCGGAAUCACUGGGCGUAAAGGGUGCGUAGGCGGGUCUUUAAGUCAGGGGUGAAAUCCUGGAGCUCAACUCCAGAACUGCCUUGAUACUGAAGAUCUUGAGUUCGGGAGAGGUGAGUGGAACUGCGAGUGUAGAGGUGAAAUUCGUAGAUAUUCGCAAGAACACCAGUGGCGAAGGCGGCUCACUGGCCCGAUACUGACGCUGAGGCACGAAAGCGUGGGAGCAA
rnacentral:rRNA from 1 species